GAUGAACGCUGGCGGCGUGCCUAAUACAUGCAAGUCGAGCGAACAGACGAGGAGCUUGCUCCUCUGCCGUUAGCGGCGGACGGGUGAGUAACACGUGGAUAACCUACCUAUAAGACUGGGAUAACUUCGGGAAACCGGAGCUAAUACCGGAUAAUAUAUUGAACCGCAUGGUUCAAUAGUGAAAGACGGCUUUGCUGUCACUUAUAGAUGGAUCCGCGCCGCAUUAGCUAGUUGGUAAGGUAACGGCUCACCAAGGCAACGAUGCGUAGCCGACCUGAGAGGGUGAUCGGCCACACUGGAACUGAGACACGGUCCAGACUCCUACGGGAGGCAGCAGUGGGGAAUCUUCCGCAAUGGGCGAAAGCCUGACGGAGCAACGCCGCGUGAGUGAUGAAGGUCUUCGGAUCGUAAAACCCUGUUAUUAGGGAAGAACAAAUGUGUAAGUAACUAUGCACGUCUUGACGGUACCUAAUCAGAAAGCCCCGGCUAACUACGUG
rnacentral:rRNA from 1 species